CCCCCGCCCUCCCGCUCCCGCCAAUGGGGAGCGCGCGCGCGGCAGAGGGAUGUGCGCGCCGCGGCGAGUUGGCGAGUGCGCGCGCGCGGCCCCGCCCGCCGGCUGUGCGCUCAGAUGUGAGCACCCGAGCCCAGCCGCCUGAGAGAGGUCGAUGCGCGCGCGCUGCAGUCCCGAGCGGCGACUCGGCGAGUAGACCCCCGAGACGGCUGCGCCCCAGGCGCGCGGGGCGCUGGCCACGCCUGCGGCCCUCGCGCGUUUGCCUGCCUCGUAGCGAAAUCGGCGCUUCUUGGGACAGCGGCGCCCGCUGUCCAGGGCUUCGCCGAGGUGCCCAUCCCCCGAAAUCGCGAUGACCACGCGGGAAGCCCGUGCUGUGUGCCCCUCCCUCUGAUCUUGCAAGGACUAUCUCUGCUUUUUCUUUGAAUGAAAAAGCACUGAGCUUGCCCGGGUAGGAGCCUUUCUGGGUAACCUUGACCCUGGCUCACUCAGCGGCACCCCGACUUUCGCUUUUCUUUCUUCUUCACCUGUCGGCCGGCUCCUGGGGGAGGGCGGCAGCGUGCGCUUCCUGGGGCGGCUGUGUCUGGCACAGGGUGCCGAGCUGCGCCUGCCCUCGCCUGGGGGACGGCUGCGGAGGCCGGCGGAGCGCAGCCACGCUCUCCCCGCUUCUGGCAGCCACGGGCACGACUCAGAGCGCAGGUUGCCCCGAGGGCUCGGCCAAGCGCACCGCCUGGCUACGGCCCUGUUUUUCCCACCCUUCCUCUCGGAUGUUCGCUGUGGCCUCAGGGGCACUGGGUCGGGGGUCGGGAAGCGGGGGACCCUUCCUGGGCCCGCGAAGCGCACCUUGGCGUCUUCGCGGUAUCGCUGCUCCCGGGGAAGGGUGCACGUCUAGCCCUCUGCCCUCCCACUCUAAGUUGGCUCCUUUUUCCUGCCUUUGUUGCAGACAGCGACGCGGCCGCGAGUCCGUGGGAGCCCAUCUUUGAUGUUUAUUUUAUUGCUUUCCACCAUUUGUGCAGCAAACGUACACAGUUCUCUCUUAUCUUCAUUCAACGAGGUUUGAAGGCAUUCGGAAUGGGACCUAAGAGAGCCCAGGCCUGCGUGGAGAAAGGGCGCCCGUCCUCAGCAUCUCUCCAGGACACCCUCAAGCCGGGGCCGGUCUAA
rnacentral:lncRNA from 1 species